rnacentral:rRNA from 1 species
UGAGGAAUAUUGGGCAAUGCCCGCAAGGGUGACCCAGCAACGCCGCGUGGAGGAUGAAUGUCGUAAGAUUGUAAACUCCUGUUAGAGGGGAAGAAUAGUACCGGUUGGACCGGUAUAUGACUGUACCCUCAGAGAAAGCCCCGGCUAACUACGUGCCAGCAGCCGCGGUAAUACGGAGGGUGCAAGCGUUAUCCGGAUUCACUGGGUUUAAAGGGUGCGUAGGUGGGCAGAUAAGUCAGUGGUGAAAUCUUCCGGCUUAACCGGAAAAUUGCCGUUGAUACUACUUGUCUUGAGUAUUGUGGAGGUAAGCGGAAUAUGUCAUGUAGCGGUGAAAUGCUUAGAUAUGACAUAGAACACCAAUUGCGAAGGCAGCUUACUAUAUAAUUAUUGACACUGAGGCACGAAAGCGUGGGUAGCGAAC